GGAGAGAUGGCAGAGUGGUCGAAUGUACCUGACUCGAAAUCAGGCGUAGGGUUUUCCCCUACCGAGGGUUCGAAUCCCUCUCUCUCCGCCA
rnacentral:tRNA from 3 species